rnacentral:rRNA from 1 species
GAACCUGCGGAGGGAACAGUAGCCACGAGUUAUCCAACUCCCAACCCCUGUGAAUUAUACCUUUAAUUGUUGCUUCGGCGGGACUUCGCGCCCGCCGGGGACCCAAACCUUCUGAAUUUUUUAAUAAGUAUCUUCUGAGUGGUUUAAAAAAAAAAUGAAUCAAAACUUUCAACAACGGAUCUCUUGGUUCUGGCAUCGAUGAAGAACGCAGCGAAAUGCGAUAAGUAAUGUGAAUUGCAAAAUUCAGUGAAUCAUCGAAUCUUUGAACGCACAUUGCGCCCGUCAGUAUUCUGGCGGGCAUGCCUGUUCGAGCGUCAUUACGCCCCUCAAGUCCCCUGUGGACUUGGUGUUGGGGAUCGGCGAGGCUGGUUUUCCAGCACAGCCGUCCCUUAAAUUAAUUGGCGGUCUCGCCGUGGCCCUCCUCUGCGCAGUAGUAAAGCACUCGCAACAGGAGCCCGGCGCGGUCCACUGCCGUAAAACCCCCCAACUUUUUAUAGUUGACCUCGAUAUCAAGGGUAGGACUACCCACAAAAAUUAAGCAUAU